rnacentral:rRNA from 1 species
GCAUAUCAAUAAGCGGAGGAAAAGAAACCAACAGGGAUUGCCCUAGUAACGGCGAGUGAAGCGGCAACAGCUCAAAUUUGAAAUCUGGCGCAAGCCCGAGUUGUAAUUUGUAGAGGAUGCUUCUAGGUAGCGACCGGUCUAAGUUCCUUGGAACAGGACGUCAUAGAGGGUGAGAAUCCCGUAUGUGACUGGCCCGCACCUUCUACGUAGCUCCUUCGACGAGUCGAGUUGUUUGGGAAUGCAGCUCUAAAUGGGAGGUAAAUUUCUUCUAAAGCUAAAUACCGGCCAGAGACCGAUAGCGCACAAGUAGAGUGAUCGAAAGAUGAAAAGCACUUUGGAAAGAGAGUUAAAAAGCACGUGAAAUUGUUGAAAGGGAAGCGCUCACAACCAGACUUCUAGGCAGUGUUCCGCCGGUCUUUUGACCGGUCUACUCUCUGUCUCGAGGCCAACAUCAUCUGGGACCGCUGGAUAAGACCUUAGGAAUGUAGCUCCCCUCGGGGAGUGUUAUAGCCUCUGGUGAUGCAGCGAGUCUCGGGUGAGGUCCGCGCUUCGGCAAGGAUGUUGGCGUAAUGGUUGUCAGCGGCCCGUCUUGAAACACGGACC